AGCUCCAAUAGCGUAUAUUAAAGUUGUUGCAGUUAAAAAGCUCGUAGUUGGAUUUCUGCGAGGGUGCCAAUGUCCGCCGACGCGCGUGCGCAGCGGCGCCCUCGCAUCCUUCUGUUACCACCUCUCGGCAUUCACUUGCCGGUGGUCGGCUCAGAGAAUUUACCUUGAGAAAAUUAGAGUGUUUCAGGCAGGCUAGGCCGGAAUACAUUAGCAUGGAAUAAUGGAAUAGGACUACGGUCUCGUUGUUGGUUUGAGGGACUGCAGUAAUGAUUAAUAGGGAUAGUUGGGGGCAUUAGUAUUUAAUUGUCAGAGGUGAAAUUCUCGGAUUUGUUAAAGACUAACUUAUGCGAAAGCAUUUGCCAAGGAUGUUU
rnacentral:rRNA from 1 species